CAGCGCCCGCCUGGCCAGUCCAGGUGCCUUCCUCGCUUCCCUCAGCGAUAGUUGCUUUUUUUUGCAUGUGUUGCCGGUCUCGAUGCACUGCGGAGUCACCCCUCCAUCGAGUCGGGAUUGCUUUGCCCGGCUGAACGCCCCGGCGAUUCACUGACUAACAUACGUGUGCCGCGUCCGUUCAGGCGACGUUACAGGGUUCUCCCUCUCCUUUGUCUUGGGUUCAGGCUGCAGGUCGCUACUUAUUUUGCAGUUGGUUUGUGCUAAAAAGUUGAGUUCUUAGGAAGAACAAGCGUCAAAACGUGCUUGUCCCAUGUUUCAGGGGUGUACCUGGUAGCUGUGUUGGUCUGAGACAAAACGACGUACAAAAAAACGAGAACUCUUGGUUCCAAAAUGAUACCUUGAUCCUGAAAGCUUACAGAAAAGGACGGUUUUCUUGCUGUUUUCCAGUUAGUUUAAUAAAAAGUAUCGUUUUGGAACCAAGAGUUCUAGUUUUUUGUACGUCUUCUUGUCCCUUGUGGGUUGUUUGUCAGUUCUCACUAACUGCAUCGUAGCGAGCGCCGUUUUGGAGGCCCGGUUACGACAUAUGCCACUUGUGGUAUAGCUGAGAACCUAACGUAUAUUAAAUAGGUUUCUUAACCGUGUUUGAGCUUUGGACUUUCAGGUCACAUCUUUGCUAGCAAACUAAACUCUUGGUAAUUAGAGCGGUGUAAAAUGCCAACGUCACAGUGUUGUUCACACAGCUUUAGUUGCAAUUUUUACUUUGGCUUGUGGGAGAUUUAAAAACGCCUCCUGGGAAGGGAAAUCUUGGGAGCAGAGAACAACUUUUCUUUAUCCAUCAGGAUUCUCCAGUAAUUUCCCCGAGAAAUUCUGAUAGCAGCGCUCUUUCCCAGUCUUUUUUUUCAACAGCUUUCUCACGCUACUCAGCGAAAACUCUCUUGCUGAAGCUUUGGAACAGUGAGCACAAGGCGGCUGCAGGGCAUGCCAGUAGUACUACUGGAUACUUGGAAGCUAAGAUGAGAAGCUGACAUCUGCAUUUUUCAGCACUGUCCAGCUCAAGUCCAGCAGACCACUUCAUGAACAGGAACCCUUAUGACCAUGUCUAAACAUGAAGUCACUGCUCUUCAGUAAAACAGCUGGAACAUGUUGCAGGAUGAGGGCCCCACAUUCUUCUUUCAAUAUAUCGCUGCAGUCCCUGUAGAUGAAUUUUGAUUGCAGUUGACCCAGUUGUUUCUUAAAUGUUUUCUACUUCCUACUGUUGAUUUUCAGUCUUUGCAGGAGCAGACAUCUGAAGCAGGAGGGCCUUUCCACGCCUCUCCAGAGACCUUCCCUGGCUUGUCUUU